rnacentral:rRNA from 1 species
UACGAAGGGGACUAGCGUUGUUCGGAUUUACUGGGCGUAAAGCGCGCGUAGGCGGAUCGCUAAGUCAGGGGUGAAAUGCCAAGGCUCAACCUUGGAACUGCCUUUGAUACUGACGAUCUGGAGAUUGGGAGAGGUGAGUGGAAUUCCGAGUGUAGAGGUGAAAUUCGUAGAUAUCAUUUGGAACGCCAAUGGUGAAAACAGGUAGCUGGGAGUGUGCUGACGCUGAGACACGAAAGCCAGGGGAGCGAACGGG